rnacentral:rRNA from 1 species
UACGGAGGGUGCAAGCGUUAUCCGGAUUCACUGGGUUUAAAGGGUGCGUAGGUGGGUAUGUAAGUCAGUGGUGAAAUCCCCGAGCUUAACUUGGGAACUGCCAUUGAUACUAUAUAUCUUGAAUGCCGUAGAGGUAAGCGGAAUAUGUCAUGUAGCGGUGAAAUGCUUAGAUAUGACAUAGAACACCAAUUGCGAAGGCAGCUUACUAUGCGGAUAUUGACACUGAGGCACGAAAGCGUGGGUAGCAAACAGG